rnacentral:rRNA from 1 species
GGGGAUAAAUUAAAAAAAAAGUAAUAAUAAAAAAAUUUUUAAUUUAAUUAUAUUAAUAUUUAAUGGGGGUUAAAGUAUUUAUAUAGAAAAAAUUGAAAUUUUUAUAGGGGAAUAGUAUUGUGAAAGAAUUUUGAAAUAAAUGAAAAAAAAAUUAUUAAAAAGUAAUUUUCAUUUAAUGUAUCUUGUGUAUCAGAGUUUAUUAAAUAAAAUUUUUAGGGGGAAAAUCUCGAAUUUAAGAGAGAUAAUUAAUUAUAAAAGUUAUUGUGGUAAAAAUAUUUUUAAUAGUUAAUUUGAAAUGAAAUGUUAAUCGUUCUUAAAGAUAUCUAGUUUUUUUAGAAAAAAAUUUAAUUUUAAAUUUAUAAUAUUAAAAUAUUUAAUUAAUUAAUUAAUUAAAUAUUAAAUAAAUUUUAUAUUUUAAGGGAUAAGCUUUAAAUUAAAUUAAUAUAAUUUUUAAUUAAAUUUUGAAAAUAAUAUAAUUUAUAUUGUUAAUAAAUUUUAAUUUAUUAUAAAUAAUUUCAAAUAAAAAUAAAAUUUAAUUUUAAUUUAUUUUUAUAUAAAAAAAUAAUUUUUAAUAAUAAUAAAAUUAGUUAUAAUGAUAAAAUUAGUAUAUAAUUAGUUAAUUAAAAUUUAAUUUAAGUAAAUUAUUUAAAAGGAAUUCGGCAAAAUUUUAUACUCACUUGUUUAUCAAAAACAUGUCUUUUUGUAAAUAAUUUAAAGUCUAAUCUGCCCACUGAUUAAUAUUAAAGGGCUGCAGUAUAUUGACUGUACAAAGGUAGCAUAAUCAUUAGUCAUUUAAUUGGUGACUUGUAUGAAAGAUUGGAUGAAGUAUAAACUGUCUUUUAGGUAAAUUAUAGAAUUUAAUUUUUGAAUUAAAAAGUUUAAAUAAAUUAAAAAGACGAGAAGACCCUAUAGAGUUUUAUAAUUAGUUAAUUUAUAAUUAUUUAUAAAUUUAAGGUUUUUAAUUUAGUUAAUUAUUUUAUUGGGGUGAUAGAAAAAUAAAAUUAACUUUUUAUAUUGGUAAACAUAAAUAAGUGAUUAUAUGAUCCAAUUUUAUUGAUUAAAAGAAAAAAUUACCUUAGGGAUAACAGCGUAAUUUAUUUUUUUAGUUCAUAUAAAAAAAUGAGUUUGCGACCUCGAUGUUGGAUUAAGAUAAAAGUUAAAUGUAGAAGUUUAAGUUUUUGAUCUGUUCGAUCAUUAAAAUCUUACAUGAUCUGAGUUCAGACCGGUGUAAGCCAGGUUGGUUUCUAUCUUUUAUAAAAUAAAAUAUUUUAGUACGAAAGGAUUGAAUAUUUAAAUUAAAUUUAUUAUUUUGAAUUUUAUUAAAUUAUAUAUAUAUAUAUAUAUAUAUUUAUAAAUA